CACCUUCUCGCAGAGGCUCUUGACCUGGGACUCGGAUAGCUGCUUGCACUCGUUCAGCUGCUCGAUCCACUGGUCAAGCUCCUUGGUGAACACCUUCUCGUCCAUGAUGCCA
rnacentral:pre_miRNA from 2 species